rnacentral:rRNA from 1 species
CCGGUUCGUACAACCGACCCCGUCCACACCAUGGGAGUGGGUUUCACCAGAAGUAGUUAGCCUAACCGCAAGGAGGGCGACUACCACGGUGAGAUUCAUGACUGGGGUG